AUCUUUUUCCUUUUCAGGCUAUAACUCAGAAUGGCAAGGUCAGGUACUAUUUCCAGCUCUGUUGACACUCUAAAAGGCAGAUUAGAAGAUCCACACGGGUGGCUGUACCAGUGAGUGGUAGACUUUCCCUAAAGAUGCUCAGGCAUGACUGCACCAGGAGAUGUAAUGAAGGGAUCUGAUCUUUGCAUGAAAACAUAGAAUCACCACAGAAAUGACACAUUUCCCAUCUGCAUUAGGAGCUUCACCUGGCAGCUGAAGACUGGAAAUUGUAGUGACGUGGAAAACUCCUAAGCCUGGCAGUACUAACACCAAUAGGAUCCUUAGAAGUCUUGAUGAUUUCCAUUAGGAUCCUCUAGUGGUUUCUCCUUUCACUCUCUACUAGAGCUCCAAGAUAUCUCAGCAAGAAAGACUGGUAUGAAAAAGAAAGAAAGAAAGGAAAGAAAGGAAAGAAAGAAAGAAAGAAAGAA